UACCGGUGAUGACAAGAUUCUGCCAAAUGAAUCUCAUGAUUAUACCUUACCGUUCCAUAUUUCUCUGAGGUU